AAAAAAUCGGUCAACAAAUCAUCGACACAAUCUUGAAUUGUCUUGAAUUGUCUCUUUCGGACAAUAUUUCCGAUUGAGAAUCAAUGACGUUUGGAGUAAACGAGAGGAUUGAUUGGCUGAUGCGGCGAGAAGUGACUCCAAGCCGUCCAGGCCCUGAGGCAGCAAAACAGCCCCAUAUCAUUACACUCGCCCCACAAUCCUUCACAGCCGCAAUGAUGUUUUGGCAAUGCUGUUUCAGCACACAUCAGACUGGCUUCAUCUUCUAGAAAACACAGCAAUGGUGCUGAACUGAUGGUGCUAAUCUGCCUGACUGGAGGCAUAAAUCUUCCGAAAUCCUUUGCAAACAUUGAGUUUUAUGAGUUCUUCUUUUGAGGUUUCCUGAAGUCCCUUUUGAUCAGUCUAGAUUGCUCUUGAGCACAAUUGUUUGCUGAGGAGCAACUAACAUGCUGCUUUCCAUUCAGGAUGGCAGGUCAAACCCACAGCUGAGUCCAAUUACCUUUUUUUCAAAAGGUCAUUAUAGUAGAGGUUAUCUUGAUUGUUUAACACAUUUGUCCAAUAAAGACACGGCACUGCAAAAUGGUUUGUGUCUGUGGUUCUAAAUAAGGCCAGUCACAAGGGGAAUCUGUCACCUAAAAAUAUUAUUCAGCAACUGUAAGGUUUUAAGUAUUUGAAACAUUAGCCCCUUUGACACAGCAAUACCAGUAAAUUGCUGUAAAAUGAACAGAACGACUUUACCGGUAAAUACAAAAAUGCACUGUUGUACAAAUGUACAAAUGUACAAUGUAAAAACAUGUAUCUACACAAUAAGUGCAUUGUAUCAAAUGAUUAAUUUAAAUGCAAGUACAUAGAAGUUAAGGCCACCUAAUAAAAAAGUGGGACCAAUUGAUCAAUAUUAUCAGUAAAGAAAUGUACAUUAUUACAAAAGAUUUUUAUUUAAAAUAAAUGUUCUUCUUUUGAACUUUCUAUUCAUCAAAGAAUCCUGAAAUAAAUGUAUCAUGGUGUCCACCAAAAUAUUAAAUGGCAUAACUGUUUUCAACAGUGAUAAAAUGUUUCUUGGAAUCAGCAAAUUGGCCAUAUGCAUGUAAAAUUAGAGACGCAACAGUAUAUCUAUUUUAACUGAAAGCACUGCCCUCUCUGCCACUCACUGAACAGAGCAGCCACAGAGGGAGAAGUGUGUGCACGCUGGGAAAGCAAGACCUCACGCUCGUGCGGCAGUACCGGCGAGUCUCAGAAACUAAAUAAGGUUUUUCCAAGAAGUCGCUGGAUUUGUCACUAGGCAUUUUUUGGAAGAAAAAAAGAGUCACUGGAGGGUCUCAAAAGUCACUAAAUCUAGCGACAAAGCAGAUAACGACUGCUAAAAAUUCAGCUUUGCCAUCACAGGAAUAAAUUACAUUUAAAAUGAAAAUAGAAAAUAGUUAAUGAUGGUUCUAUGCAUCAAUUCAGGAUCUGAUGAAGGCAGGUCUGAAUGCAAGCUUGCAGUCGAUUGUAAAAAAUGAUUGGAUAAAUGUGACAGCAUCUUUCCAUUAUCACUAAACAGCCUCAUGUGUUAAAUGAGCUGUAUCGUUUUUCCUGGGCAGCAACAAUGAAAAUCUUGAUUUUACAGCGUAACAACUAGCCCAAGUCUCCCCAGUAUUUCUUAUUAAGAUCAGACUGUAAUCUAAGAAUCAUUCAGUUCAGAAAUCCAGAUUGUUUAAAGGGUUUGGUUGUGUAUAUACAGU